CAAAUGUUUGUCAUCAACAAGCUGCAUUACAUUAUAUUAUGUAGGAUGAAUCAACCACUUAAAGCCACACCUCGGUUGCAAAUUCCAGAUAUAAGGACCACUAGAAGAAUCCCCAUGAAGAUCAGAAGAGAGGACCGUAAUGGAGUUACCUGUUAAGGGAUUUCCUCUAUUGUUCUGAUAGCAGGUGAAUUUUACUUGAAAUAGUAAACCUGGUAGAAUGGCCUGAGGACUAGAAAGACCUUCCAGUGUCAAUUACAAUACUUGCAAUACCAAGUAUCAAAA